rnacentral:rRNA from 1 species
GAUGAACGCUGGCGGCGUGCCUAAUACAUGCAAGUCGAGCGAACAGACGAGGAGCUUGCUCCUCUGACGUUAGCGGCGGACGGGUGAGUAACACGUGGGUAACCUACCUAAGACUGGGAUAACUCCGGGAAACCGGCUAAUACCGGAUAACACAUGAAACCGCAUGGUUUCAUGAUGAAAGACGGUUUUGCUGUCACUUAUAGAUGGACCCGCGGCGUAUUAGCUAGUUGGUAAGGUAACGGCUUACCAAGGCAACGAUACGUAGCCGACCUGAGGGUGAUCGGCCACACUGGAACUGAGACGGUCCAGACUCCUACGGGAGGCAGCAGUAGGGAAUCUUGCAAUGGGCGAAAGCCUGACGGAGCAACGCCGCGUGAGUGAUGAAGGUCUUCGGAUCGUAAAACUCUGUUAUUAGGGAAGAACAAGGAUGUAAGUAACUAUGCAUCCCUUGACGGUACCUAAUCAGAAAGCCACGGCUACGUGCCAGCAGCCGCGGUAAUACGUAGGUGGCAAGCGUUAUCCGGAAUUAUUGGGCGUAAAGCGCGCGUAGGCGGUUUUUUAAGUCUGAUGUGAGCCCACGGCUCAACCGUGGAGGGUCAUUGGAAACUGGAACUUGAGUGCAGAAGAGGAAAGUGGAAUUCCAUGUGUAGCGGUGAAAUGCGCAGAGAUAUGGAGGAACACCAGUGGCGAAGGCGACUUUCUGGUCUGCAACUGACGCUGAUGUGCGAAAGCGUGGGGAUCAAACAGGGAUACCCUGGUAGUCCACGCCGUAAACGAUGAGUGCUAAGUGUUAGGGGGUUUCCGCCCCUUAGUGCUCAGCUAACGCAUUAAGCACUCCGCCUGGGGAGUACGGCCGCAAGGCUGAAACUCAAAGGAAUUGACGGGACCCGCACAAGCGGUGGAGCAUGUGGUUUAAUUCGAAGCAACGCGAAGAACCUUACCAAAUCUUGACAUCUUUGACAACUCUAGAGAUAGAGCUUUCCCCUUCGGGGGACAAAGUGACAGGUGGUGCAUGGUUGUCGUCAGCUCGUGUCGUGAGAUGUUGGGUUAAGUCCCGCAACGAGCGCAACCCUUAAGCUUAGUUGCCAGCAUAAGUUGGGCACUCUAAGUUGACUGCCGGUGACAAACCGGAGGAAGGUGGGGAUGACGUCAAAUCAUCAUCCCCUUAUGAUUUGGGCUACACACGUGCUACAAUGGACGGUACAAAGGGCAGCGAACCCGCGAGGUCAAAAAUCCC